rnacentral:rRNA from 1 species
UAAAAGCGGAGGAAAAGAAACCAACAGGGAUUGCCCUAGUAACGGCGAGUGAAGCGGCAACAGCUCAAAUUUGAAAGCUAGCCUUCGGGUUCGCAUUGUAAUUUGUAGAGGAUGAUUUGGGGAAGCCGCCUGUCUAAGUUCCUUGGAACAGGACGUCAUAGAGGGUGAGAAUCCCGUAUGUGACAGGAAAUGGCACCCUAUGUAAAUCUCCUUCGACGAGUCGAGUUGUUUGGGAAUGCAGCUCUAAAUGGGAGGUAAAUUUCUUCUAAAGCUAAAUAUUGGCGAGAGACCGAUAGCGCACAAGUAGAGUGAUCGAAAGAUGAAAAGCACUUUGGAAAGAGAGUUAAAAAGCACGUGAAAUUGUUGAAAGGGAAGCGCUUGCAAUCAGACUUGUUUAAACUGUUCGGCCGGUCUUCUGACCGGUUUACUCAGUUUGGACAGGCCAGCAUCAGUUUCGGCGGCCGGAUAAAGGCUCUGGGAAUGUGGCCUCCACUUCGGUGGAGGUGUUAUAGCCCAGGGUGUAAUACGGCCAGCCGGGACUGAGGUCCGCGCUUCGGCUAGGAUGCUGGCGUAAUGGUUGUAAGCGACCCGUCUUG